UAUGCACUAUUCUCUUCAGUACGAAAGGACCAAGAAAAUGGGACCAAUAUCCCCACAAGUCCCCACCCACCUGAAACAAUAUCAAGCCUACAGUACCCUAUCACCCAAAAACAGGGC
rnacentral:rRNA from 1 species